rnacentral:rRNA from 1 species
GACGAACGCUGGCGGCGUGCUUAACACAUGCAAGUCGAACGGAAAGGCCCUGCUUUUGUGGGGUGCUCGAGUGGCGAACGGGUGAGUAACACGUGAGUAACCUGCCCUUGACUUUGGGAUAACUUCAGGAAACUGGGGCUAAUAUCGGAUAGGAGCUCCUGCUGCAUGGUGGGGGUUGGAACGUUUCGGCGGUUGGGGAUGGACUCGCGGCUUAUCAGCUUGUUGGUGGGGGAGUGGCUUACCAAGGCUUUGACGGGUAGCCGGCCGGGGAGGGUGACCGGCCACAUUGGGCCUGAGGUACGGCCCAGACUCCUACGGGAGGCAGCAGUGGGGAAUAUUGCCCAGUGGGCGGGAGCCUGAUGCAGCAACGCCGCGUGCGGGAUGACGGCCUUCGGGUUGUAAACCGCUUUCGCCUGUGACGAAGCGUGAGUGACGGUAAUGGGUAAAGAAGCACCGGCUAACUACGUG